rnacentral:lncRNA from 1 species
ACAGAGCAAGAAAAUACAAUAAGAAGGAAGCAUCUGAAACAAGAAAAUGAAAAAAUCAGUUCAUUGUCUCCCGCAGCUGGCGCGAUGGCUACGGUUGAACGAGGCUACAAUGACAACUCCUGUCGAUGAGGUGCCUGAAUCACGAUCAUUGCCGCGAACUAGCUACGACUCUGAAUCACGACCACGAUCGGCCCUACGAGCUAAUAAAAAAAAUUGAAUCGAUUGGCAGCGGUGGAUGGUGCGUGAGUGAUGGGCUGACGAUAGUGAAAUUGACAGAGUGAGACGAUGAGACUGGAGAGGAAGAUGGUGAGACCGUGAGAGAGAGAGAGAGAGAGACCAACGAUGGAGAGAGUGGAAGUGAGCAUGAAAGAGAGAGAGAGAGACAGGAGAUGGAGAGAAUGAGAGUGAGCGUGUGAGAGAGAGGGGGGCCAUGGCUGCUGCUGUCCUUGUAGAAUUAGAAAUGAGGUCAUGAUUUUUUUGUUUUAUAUUUUAGCCGAUUAGGAUUUUUUUAUAAAUAUUUUACACGGUUACAUCUAAAACCGUCAUUGUUAUUUUUAACUUAAAUGACGGUUCUUUACAACCGUCGUUAAUACUUGAAUAAGACAUCUAAUGACGGUUUUUAUAUAUAACUGUCAUUAAAAUAAAGUUAUAUUUUAUUUUGAUAUUUAAUGAUUGUUAUAUAAUAAAAUGAUUAUAAAAAAAUUAUACUUUUAAUGAUCGUUUUUAUACAAAAACAUCGUUAAAAGUAACUAAAAAUAAAAUUAUAUUUUAACUUGACAUUUAGUAACUGUUAUAUAAUAUAAUCGUCAUUGUAAAUAUUAUACAUUAAUAAUCAUUUUUAUACACAAAUGUCAUUAAAAAUAAGACUAUUUUUUACUUGACAUUUAAUAAAUGUUAUAUAAUACAAUCGUCAUUGUAAAUAUUAGAUAUUAUGACGGCUCAUAUAAUAACGAUCAUCACAUAUUACCUUAUUGUUAACUUUUUAUUCACACGAAAACAUAUAUUAAAUUCUUAUCUUUAGUGCUCCAUUUUUUAAUUUUAAUUUUAAUUUAUAUCAUUAAUUUAAUUUAUAAUGAAUAUGAAUAAAAUUGUAUUUGAAAACAAGAGUAAUAAUAUAAAAUUAUACUUCGAGGGAGGUUAUAGGCUAUAUAAAAACAAUAAAGGGGUAUACAUACAUAAACUCUGGCUGUGUACGUUGUCCUGAAAUACCUUUACUGAGAAAUGAGAAGGAAGGAUACAAUAUUGAAUUUUCUUAGCAAAUAUUUGAUACUGACUGCAUUUCCUAAUGCGACAACUGACUAGAACAUUCACUGUAUGUGAAUGUUUUAGAAAGAAAAUUGUGCUAUUUUUGUAGAGAUGAUGAGAAAUUUCAACAUUCAAAAAAAUAAAUAGGAGACUUAUUCAAUCUCGGUGGCGUCUCACCAUUUAAUUUUAUGGUGCAAUAAGAGUCCUUGCUCUUUCCUGGAAAUGUAGGAAAGGGGGAUAUUUCGCCAUCCAACAGUGCUUUACACAAAGCAACGUUUUUGGACUCCAGUUAGUAGUAGGCAAUUCGCACUUUACUUGUACGAUCAAAUAUUACUAUAUUAGGCAAUUUGUACUUGACUUGUAUGAUGAAUACGACAGGCAAUUGAUUUGCCCUCGACUUUUAUCACGAAUUUGCUGGAAAUAAUAAAUUCGAAUUUGUAGAGAUGUCAAUCUAUUUGUCGGUAAAAAUAUCAUAUUUUUCUUGUAUGUUGUUUUACUUUUUUUAAUGUUUCAUUCAACACAAUAAAUAAUAUAUGGUAUUAAAAGGUUAUGGUGGAUCAAAGUGGUAAAUAUAGCUUCUAAGAGUGAGAAAAGUGUCCUUCACAUAUUCACAGCCUACAUGAUGGUGAUAUUCGUCGCAGUUUUGCCAAAUUCCAUCAUUUAGAUAUUUAAAUAUUUCAUUUUCAAAUUACUUUUAGAAAUUUUAGGUAAUUCAUCAUUUUGUUAAAAAAACUCCAAUGCCAUCUCAUGAAGAUGCAAUUACAACAAAUGGUACAAGGAAUUAAUAAUCAAUCAGCUCCUACCUGUACGUGUCAUCGAUCAAGGAAUUUAAGCAGCACCAUUCCACAUGUAUUUAAAUACUUAAGAUUAUUAAAAGACUAUAUAUACAGUCCUUCUAUCUCAUAGGCUGGUCCCAUUUUUUUUUUUUUUAUACAGACACGCUCUUAAGGCAUAUGAUUUAAUAAAAUCAAUAUUUAAUAUACUAUUAAAACAUGUGGUUUAAUAAAGUUACUAUUUAAUUAAUUGUAAAAUCAUAUGACUUUAUAAUGUUUACACGUGAAAAAAAAGGGGAGCGUUGUAGGUGCCCUCAUUUUUUUUUAUACAGACACACUUUCAAGCCAUGCAAUUUAAUAGAAUCAAAUUUUAAUACUAUUAAGCUGCACGACUUUAUAGUGCUUAAAAAAUAAAUCAAUUUAGCUGCACGACUUAGCAAUAUAUUCGUAUUAAAAAAUAAAAAAUAAGGGCACCCACACCUUAUAUAUAUGACUCAUUUUCUAGUGCGGGUGCCUUUAUUAUUAUUUUUUUUCAUACGGACAUGCUUUUUAACCAUAAGAUUUGAGAGAGUUGGUUUUUAACUCUCUUAAACUCCAAGACUUUAUGUUCAUUCAAAAACUAAAUUUCUUAAACCUCACAGUUUAAAAGCAUUUCUAUGUUAAAAAGAACAUGGAUCCCGCACCUGAGAAUGAUUAUAUAUAUAUUAGUCAUGGGACAUUUUCACAUUUAUGAUUAUGUGUUUAAUCCCAUGGAGCGAUAACCUAUUUAAUUGGAACAUUAUUAGCACCGAUGCCUUUCAAACAUGUAACUUACGCAAUUUGAACACGUGAUGAUUUCUGUUUAUGGUUGGGGCUGCUCGAUCAAAAUUUCUUUAUUAGCUGAGAUAGCCCCCCACCUUGACCCUUUGAGACAUGCUUGGACGUAUGUUAAUAACAGAAUAUUAAUUAAUGUUAGCAAUUUCCACACACACACACACACACACACUAUAUAUAAAGGUUUAGCGUUCCAUAAACUAAGCACUACUCUUCAGCAUCCAUACAGCACCUUGUUAGUUUCUCCAUUAUAUCCUAAUUAGCCUAAGAAGAUGGGUUCAUUCCAAGAUGAUCACCAAGGCAUGUUGAAACCAGCAAGGGACGAGCAAGACUUCUUGUUGGCCAUGGAACUCGCUUCCGGCGCAGUACUUCCAAUGACCAUUAAAUCUGCCACUGAGCUUGGUUUGUUGGAGAUAAUGGCGAAAGUUAGCCCAACUCAACUCUCGUCUUCAGAGAUUGCCUCUCAGCUGCCCACAAAUAACAAAAAAGCCCCAAUAAUACUGGACAGAAUGCUGCGCCUCCUAGCCAGUUACUCUUUUCUCACAUGUAAUCUUGUCUCGAACAAAGACGGAAGUGUUCAGAGAUUAUAUGGCUUGACACCGGUUUCCAAAUAUUUUGUUCCAAAUGAAGAUGGAGUUUCUCUUGCUCCCACUCUGCUCAUAAUUCAGGACAAAAUUAGUAUGGAUUCUUGGUAAUUUGCUUUCUAAUUUCCUUGUACUCACAUUAAUUGUAUCUGUAGACGUUAUAACAUAAUAUAUGCACUCAAUUAAUUAAUACUCAUAUGUGUGCAUGAUAUCUUCUGACAGGUCCUGCGCGAAGGAUGCUUUAUUGGAAGGGUCGGUACCAUCUAUGAAGGCACAUAAUGGAAUGGAUUUAUUUGCGGCUGCCGCCAAAGAUGAAAGAAUAAAUAACCUCUUCAAUCAAUCAAUGCACAAUCACACAACUAUAGUCAUGAAGGAAAUUCUUGAGAUCUACAAGGGAUUUGAAGGGCUGAACCAAUUGGUGGAUGUUGCCGGUGGCUUAGGUGCAAAUCUUAAAUCAGUUGUUUCUAAAUAUCCACAAUUAAGGGGGAUUAACUUUGAUUUACCUCAUGUCCUCAAACAUGCACCCUCUUGUCCAGGUAUAUAAUUAUUCACGUAUACGUCACUCGUUGCCAGCUUAUUUAAUUUUGUAGAUCCUCCUCUUACGUAAAAUUUUUUCGAUUAAUUAUCAUUUUAAAAACAACGACAAUUUCAUUUUUUUCCCUUGUGUUUUAAUUCUCUUGCAGGUGUGGAGCAUGUUGGAGGAGAUAUGUUUGUUGAAGUUCCUAAAGGACAAGCUAUUUUCAUGAAGGUUAGUUCUCUACUUAAUAUUUAAUUAUUGAAAUAGAAAAUAAAAUAUUGAUUAUGUAUGUCAAUUCCGAAAAUUUUGAAAUUUCACGAAAUGUUCAUAAAAAUUAAACUCUCAGUGGAUACUUCAUGACUGGAGCGAUGAAGACUGUUCGAAGAUACUAAAGAACUGCUACGAAGCAAUACCGGUAUCCGGAAAGGUCAUUUUGGUGGAAUCAAUAGUGCCAGAAUUCCCAGAGACUGAUAUUGUAAGCAAGAAUAUAGCAAGUCUUGACGUACACCUCUCCAAUCAAUUUCCCGGAGCAAAGGAGAGGACAUUGGCGGAGUUCAAGGCCUUGGCAACAGGAGCUGGAUUUGCAGAUAUUAAAGUUAUAUGUCGUGUUUACUGCUAUUGGGUCAUUGAAUUCUACAAAACGAUCUAAGCAUAACGAUUUACGAGUGCUGGUCAUUUUAUGGUUCGCAUGCAUUUUCUUUUUCUUUUUUUAAAUUAAAUGACAGAAUCCUGUCCUUAUUCUGUCUGAUCAACACUUCUAUCUCUUCCCACGUUUCAAUAAUUUCUAGGCAUUGUUCAUUUUGUUCCUCCAUGACUUUUGUAAUUUCAUUUCUUAUAGCAAUAAUAAACUCGCCUCUUAUUGAGAUUUAUUAAAAAUAAUUUUCUUCAUUUCUCAUAAUUGUGCUUUACAAAAUAUCCAGCUAUAGGGGCUCAUAGUCCAAACCAGUGCACCCAGUUCUGGAAAUUCCAAUUCAUAUUUUUUUUGGCUGCUGUUUUUACUGCUGUCAUGCGGUAAAACAGAGCAGUCUUACUGCAAUGUUUUUGCUGCCGUUUUGACUGUACAACAGCAGGAAAAACAGAAAAAAAAUUGUAAUUUGGUUGCAGCAAAAACAACAGAAAAACUAUAAUUUGGCUGUUGUUUUUACUGUUAUCAUGCGGCGAAAAUACAGCAGUCUCACUGCAAAAAUUUUGCCACUAUUCUUACUGUAUAACAAUAGCAAUACAUCACCUUAAAUAAGAGAAAAAAAUUCUUUCAGCUACUGCACAUUCAAUUUAAUUUAACUUAAAUCCUUCAUAUUGUAGAGAGUGAGAGAUUGAUUCUAUAGAAUAAAGAGAAAUUAAGAUCAUUCAUAAAUUAUAAGCCAGUAUCUUCACCAUGACUGGCAACUUCCGCAAGCAAUUCAUUUGCUCUUUUCCACGAGGACUCAUCAGAACUGAAUAAGCAAACAACACCAUUAUAAAAGAAUGAAUAUAUAUCUGAUAUGAAAUGAGCAAAACCUAGGUUAUGAGCAGCACAGAAGUGCAAAAAGAAAAAAAGGGAAUGUCUUUCUCUGUAAAUACAUGUAGAUAGAUGUUUGCAGAUGCAUGCAAGGGAAAGAAGAAUGUCUUUCUACAUUCUCAAGGCUCCAAUUGAAGCACUAACAGGUACAUUUAUGCAAAAAUAUAAGAAGAAAAAUAAUGUAUGAUACGUGUAGUCCCUGAGGAGUAAACAAAUGUAUUUCGAUAUGUGUACAUUUCCUGAAAGAAGAUUGAACUAUAAAUAGACUGCCAAUGGAUCAAAAUGCACUUUCAGCACAAAAUCCAAUUAAAUUUGAAGAUGGCGCAAAACAAUUAGUUGAAAAUUGUACUCGUGACACCAGAAUGAAUCGCAUAACAAUUCUUUCACAGAGCUUUCAGCAAAUAUAUAGCUCAAAAAUCAGAUUUAGCACAGUCAACGCCAAAGCAAAGCAGUAUACACUAAAUGGGAACAAAUUUUUUUCUCAAUUACAUUAGUAUAAGUCCAAUGCAGGGGAAAAAAUCCACUUUCAAAAUGAAUUACAACUUAAUAACAACAACAACAACAAUCAACUAAAAAGUAAGCAAGAAUCAUAAACAAACAAUUUAUAAACCAAAUGAGAUGAAAAAUUCUUUAUUAAAUUAAUAGAAGGUCAGCUAACAGGAAAUGAAGAGAACAAACAAUAAUUGGAUGAAUCAAAACCCCAGAGUGAAAGAGUUCGUACACAGUGUUUGGUUUAAGAGAAACUAACGAGAAAGUGAUAGAAAAUUAUAAAAGAAAGCUCUGAAAAUGAUCAUCUUAUUAUAUCAUUAACAAAUGAUUAAAACUUGGUAUUUAUACUAAAUGAAAGAAGAAUCCCGUAGCUUAACAGUUUGUUGGAUCUAAUAUGCAUGCAAUACAAUUCGUUUGCUUUGCUGCUGAGCUGGAUAACUAACUAACACACGUAAGCAUUACCAGCUAUUUCAUUUAAUCAGAUGCCCUCAUCUAUACCAUAUUAUCAUACUCUGUAACAUCCCCCCCUCAAGCUGAACUGACCUGGAUGGACAUUCAGCUUGCUUCUUAGGUAGUGAAAUUGGUUGAAGGUUAAACCCUUGGUAAGAACAUCUGCAUUUUGGUCUUCACUGGGAAUGAACUGAACUGUAAUUUGCUUAGUUGUUACUUUGUCCCUGAUGAAAUGAAUAUCAAGCUCAACAUGCUUAGUUUUAGGAUGAUAAACUGGAUUGUGAGCUAGAGCUAUAGAACUUUGAUUAUCACACCACAUUAUGGGGGUUCUGACUAGAUUAAUAUGCAGCUCUCUCAGUAAGGACUGAAUCCAAGUGACCUCAGCUGUAGCUUGAGCCAAAGCUCUGUAUUUAGCUUCAGUGCUCCAUCUGGAAACUACUGCAUGUUUCUUAAAUGACCAAGAAACCAAAUUUAAACCAAGAUAAACAGCAUAUCCAGCCACUGAUUUGCGAUCAUCCUUAUCACAUGCCCAAUCUGAGUCAUUAAAACAAUUUAUCUGCAUAGUGCUGCAAUGAUAAAAGUGUAAUCCAAAAUGAAUUGUUCCUUUCAAAUAUCUAAGAAGCCUCUUGCAAGCCUCCUAGUGCUCUGCUGUUGGUGAAGCUAGAAACUAACUAAGUUUAUUUACAGAGAAGGCUAUCUCUGGCCUAGUGAGAGUCACAUAUUGUAAAGCUCCAACUGCACUUCUAUAUUGAGAAACAUUUGAAAUAACAUUUCCUGACCCUUUUGUAAGAUAAUGACCAGUUGACAUGGGAGUAGGAACUGGACUGCAGUCAGCCAUAUUAUGUUUGGCUAGAAGAUCAGCUAUGUAUUUUAACUGAGAGAGAUACAUUUCAGCUGCUGUUUUGGUAACUUAUAUCCCAAGAAAGUAAUUUAGUUUUCCCAGAUCCUUCAAAGCAAAGGCAUUUUACAUAUUUGUAACCACUUGCUGCACCAGUUGAUCACUGGAGUCUGUUAUGAUUAUAUCAUCCACAUAGACAAGGACAAAAAUUACAUGACCACCUGUCCAUUUGUAGAAAAGAGAGUUAUCUGACUUUGAAUUUUGAAACCUCCAUUGCAUAACCAUAGCAUCUUUCAAUCUCUCAAACCAUGCCUUGGGGGCUUGUUUUAAACCAUAAAGUGCCUUCUUCAACUUACAUACAUGAUGAGGUCGAGAUGGAUCAAUAAAGCCAUCAGGCUGCCCCAUGUACACAUCUUCAACUAAUAUGCCAUUAAAAAAUGCAUUAUUCACAUCCACUUGUCUGAGCUCCCAUUUAUUCAUGACUGCCAAACUUAAAAUAACCCUGACUGUUGAUGCUUUAACAACUGGACUGAAUGUUUAUGUGUAAUCAACUCCCUGUGUCUGAUGAAACCCCUUAGCCACCAACUUGGCUUUGUAUCUAGAAAUGGUUCCAUCGACAUGAUAUUUUAUCUUGAAUAUCCAUUUGUUUCCAACUACCUUAACUGGUUCAUUUGGCAAGACCAGAUCCCAGGUAUGAUUGUUUUGAAGUGCCUGAUAUUCUUCCUGCAUUGCCUUAAACCAUUUUGGAUCAGAUAAAGCUGCUGAAACAGAAGUAGGUUCUGAAGGUGUGGCUAGUAAAGCAGCUAGAUAGGAUUUAGGCUUAAAAAUACCAGCCUUGGAUAUGGUUAUCAUAGGAUGACCUAUAAGUGGUGCAGCAUGUAAUAUAUGAGGUGGAGAUUGUGUAGUAUGUAUAGGAUGUGUAUGUGAUGUUGAAGAAGAUGAUGAAGAAGAAGUUGAAGAUGUAGGGAAUACAUGUGGAGUGUCAGCAGGUAGGUAAUCAUUUGCUGGGGGUACUUGCAGAGGGGAUUGUACUUGUGGUAUUGAAACAAUAGUGACUCUGGACUCUGAAGAAAUAUCUGAAGAACUGCAAGACUGGGCAAUGGAAGAGAAAUCUGACCCAGACACAUAUGGAAAAGAUUGUUCAUAAAAAAUGACAUGGUUUGACAUAUAUACACGUCCAGAUGAAUGAAGACAUUGAUACCCUUUAUGAGAAGAGCUAUACCCAAUAAAGACACACAUGUUUGAUCUAAAACCAAGCUUGUGACUGUUAUAAGGUCUAAGAUAAGGAUAGCAAGCACACCCAAAGACUCUAAGAAAUGCAUAAUCUGGUACUUGCUGAAAAAGUUUUUGAUAAGGUGAAAUGUUGUUCAAAGUUAGUGUGGGUAGUCUGUUGAUAAGGAAUACAGCAGUAUGAAAAGCAUUCCACCAGAAUUUAAGUGGCAAAUUAGCUUGAGCUAACAGAGUGAGGCCAAUGUCAACUAUGUGUCUGUGUUUUCUCUCAAUUCUUCUAUUUUGAUAAUGGAUAUGUGGACAAGGAUGCCUGAACUGGAUUCCAAACUGAGUGAGAUAUGAUGAAAAGGUUCUAAACUCCCCUCCCCAAUCUGUUUAAACUGUUUUGAUAUGUUGUUGUAAGUGUUUUUCAAUGAAUGAUUUGAAUUCUGUGAAAACUUGAAGUGUAUCAGAUUUGGCAAAAAAAGGAAUCCAUGUAAAUCUACUAAAGUCAUCUAAAAUGGACAAGUAAUAUAUAUAACCUUGAGUGGAGGCAACAUGUGAUGGUCCCCAAAGAUCAGCAUAUAUGAGUUGUAAUGGUGCUGUUGUUUUUGUUGGAACAUAUCCAAAAUGUAAAAGAUGACUUUUACCAUGCUGACAGGCAUUGCAAAAAUUUGGAGUUUUAUUGAGUACAUUGUGACUAUUACAAGCUUUCAAUACAGAUUUGAGUGUGUGUAAGGCAGAAUGUCCUAGCCUUUUAUGAAGAAGAUUGACAUCAACUGAACUAGUAUUGACAGCCAAGGCUGAUUUACACAGCAAAUGAUUAAAGAAGUACUCUUGUUUAUUUCAGAAGAAACAUCACUAGACAAAGGAGAAUGAUAAGCAAACAAAGACUGAGGUUUAUUGGAAGAAAGUUGACAUAACAAAGCUGAGCUAGUUUCAGAGAAUUGAGCUGCAAAUUGGACUUGAUACAAUCCCCCUGUUGCAAUUCCUCUAAGUAAAAUGAUCCCUGAGUUCCUAGCCUUGACAACACAAACAUUUUAAAAAAACUCAAUUGUCACAUUGUUAUCUACUAAGAGUUUUGAAACACUGAGUAAAUUCUUUUUAAUAUUUGGAACAUGAAGAACAUGGUUUAAAGACAAGGGUUUAUUUAUAGUAGUAGUUAGCAAUACUGAUCCAAUAUGUUUAAUAUGCAAUGCAGAACCAUUUCCAACAAGCAAUUUGUCAGUUCCAACAUAUGGCUUAAGAUCCAGUAAUUUACCUGAAUCAUUUGUGAUGUGGUUAGUAGCACCACUGUUAAUAUACCAGGCUGGAUCUUCAAUCAUCUUAGGUGCAUGAGCUGGAGCAGGAACUGAAGGAAUUGAGAGUGAUGAUGGAGAUCCAGAGUAAUCUCCAGUUGGAACCAAAGCAUGUGCAGGGGAGUAAACACCAUGAGAGUUAGUUUGUUGGUAAACAUUGAAUGCAGCUGGAUCUGAGUACAUCAAAUGACCUUGAUAACCAGGUGCUCUUGGUAUGUUGAAAUUCCCAAACUGAGUGUUACCAAUUCCAGUACCAAAUUAAGGAUUAAAAUUUCUACCAAAAUUUCCAUAAAUCAUAGAAGAUCUAUGACCAUUUGCAUAGCCAAAUCCUCUACCAUACUGCCUCUGACCAUGCCUAAAAUUUCCAUUAAAACCACCUCUUCCUUGAUUUCUUGAAGAAACAAAGGCUGAAUUAAACCUAUUUCUGCAUUUAUUGGCACUAUGACCAGGAAUAAAGCAGAUCUGACAAACAAUUUGUGAGAAGUUACCAUCACCAGAUCCAGCUCCAGAAUUAUAAACUCCUCCAUAAGGUCCAGUGUUAAACUUUUGAUUGCCACCAGUAUUUUUACCAGGAUUGAACUGCUUUUGAGAAACAUUAGCUGACAAGUUAUGUGUAACAUCACUUGCAAUUUUUCCUCUCUUUUGUUCCACUCGAUUUUCAUGACUCAGCAACAAUGAAUAAAACUCAUCAAGAUUGAUAUUAUCUCCUCUAGCUAACACAAUAGUGACUAAUGAUUCAUAAUCAGAUGAAUCCAAUCCAGUUAAAACAUGUUGAACAAAAUCAUUCACUUCAACAAGUUUUCCAGCUAAAGCUAAGCUAUCAGAUAUCCUUUUCAUUUUUGCAAAAUAAUCAAUCAUGGACAUUGAGCCUUUUUUAAGAGUUUGGAUAUGCAUUUUUAGAGGCAUUAUUCUAGCUUGGGACUGAGAGACAAACAUACUUGUAAGUGUAUCCAAUAGCUCUUUUGCAGUUGAGUAGUGGAUCACUGUUGUCAGCAGAUUUGGCUGAAUGGAUGACAUCAUCCAACUCAGAAUCAAUUGAUCCGUCUUUAUCCACAUUGUGUAAGCUGGAUUGAUCUCUUAAUUCUCUGUUCCAGUUGAGAAACCAGCAAUAGAGCUCGUAGCAGAGAUAUUUUUUUUUGGACAUACUUGAUUUCCAUUGAUGAAAUCAUCUAAACCAUUUCCUUUGAUGGAUGUAAGGAUUUGAAUUCGCCAAACAAUGAAGUUAUUAUGAUCUAGUUUUACUGGAGUAAUAAAAUUAUAGGAUCCAUAAUUUUGAUUUAAGUUUGCCAUUUGUUUGCUCUGAUACCGUGAAAGAGUUCGUACACAGUGUUUGGUUUAAGAGAAACUAACGAGAAAGUGAUAGAAAAUUAUAAAAGAAAGCUCUGAAAAUGAUCAUCUUAUUAUAUCAUUAACAAAUUAUUACAACUUGGUAUUUAUACUAAAUGAAAGAAGAAUCUCGUAGCUUAACAGUUUGUUGGAUCUAAUAUGCAUGCAAUACAAUUCGUUUGCUUUGCUGCUGAGCUAGAUAACUAACUAACACACAUAAGCAUUACCAGCUGCUUCAUUUAAUCAGAUGCCCUCAUCUAUACCAUAUUAUCAUACUCUGUAACACAGAGCAAGAAAAUACAAUAAGAAGGAAGCAUUUGAAAAAAAGAAAAUGAAAUAAACAGCUCACUAUCUCCCGCAGCCGGCGCGAUGGCUACGGUUGAACGAGGCUACAAUGACAACUGCUGUCGAUGAGGUGCCUGAAUCAUGAUCAUUGCCGCGAACUAGCUACGACUCUGAAUCACGACCACGAUCGGCCCUACGAAGCUAAUAAAAAAAAUUGAAUUGAUUGGCAGCGGUGGAUGGUGCGUGAGUGAUGGGCUGACGAUAGUGAAAUUGAUAGAGUGAGACGAUGAGACUGGAGAGGGAGAUGGUGAGACUGUGAGAGAGAGAGAGAGACCAACGAUGGAGAGAGUGGAAGUGAGCAUGAAAGAGAGAGAGAGAGAGAGAGG